rnacentral:rRNA from 1 species
UACGAGUGCCCCAAGCGUUAUCCGGAAUCAUUGGGCGUAAAGGGUGUGUAGGUUGUCUUGUUAGUCUCUUGUGAAAUUCUUCGGCUUAACCGGGGUCCGCAGGGGAAACGGCAAGACUAGAGGAUGUGAGAGGUGAAUGGAACUCAUGGUGUAGGGGUGAAAUCCGUUGAUAUCAUGGGGAACACCAAAAGCGAAGGCAAUUCACUGGCGCAUUCCUGACACUCAAACACGAAAGCGUGGGUAGCGAAUGGG